GGAGGCGUCGCAUAGUUGGUCUAGUGCGCCGGUUUCGAAAACCGGUAUACCGCAAGGUAUCGAGAGUUCGAAUCUCUCCGCCUCCGCCA
rnacentral:tRNA from 1 species